rnacentral:rRNA from 1 species
UGCCAGCCGCCGCGGUAAUACGGAGGGGGUUAGCGUUAAUCGGAAUUACUGGGCGUAAAGCGCGCGUAGGUGGUCAAGUCAGUCAGAUGUGAAAACCCUGGGCUCAACCUGGGAACUGCAUCUGAUACUGCUUGACUAGAGUAUGGUAGAGGGGUGUGGAAUUUCCUGUGUAGCGGUGAAAUGCGUAGAUAUAGGAAGGAACACCAGUGGCGAAGGCGGUCUACCAGAACACGUCCGACGGUGAGGGAUGAAAGCUGGGGGAGCAAACCGGAUUAGAUA